rnacentral:pre_miRNA from 1 species
AGGCUGGGCCUGAUCCAAAGUUCAUUGAAAUCAGUGGGAAUCUUUCCAUUGACUUUAGUGGGCUUUGCAUCAUGCCUUUUAUAU